rnacentral:rRNA from 1 species
UACGAAGGGGGCUAGCGUUGUUCGGAAUUACUGGGCGUAAAGCGCACGUAGGCGGACUAUUAAGUCAGGGGUGAAAUCCCGGGGCUCAACCCCGGAACUGCCUUUGAUACUGGUAGUCUCGAGUCCGGAAGAGGUGAGUGGAAUUCCGAGUGUAGGGGUGAAAUUCGUAGAUAUUCGGAGGAACACCAGUGGCGAAGGCGGCUCACUGGUCCGGUACUGACGCUGAGGUGCGAAAUCGUGGGGAGCAAACAGG